rnacentral:rRNA from 1 species
UACGUAGGGCGCAAGCGUUGUCCGGAAUUAUUGGGCGUAAAGAGCUCGUAGGCGGUCUGUUACGUCCGCUGUGAAAACCCAGGGCUUAACCCUGGGCUUGCAGUGGAUACGGGUAGACUAGAGGCAGGUAGGGGAGAAUGGAAUUCCCGGUGUAGCGGUGAAAUGCGCAGAUAUCAGGAGGAACACCAAUGGCGAAGGCAGCUCACUGGGACGAUACUGACGCUGAGACGCGAAAGCGUGGGGAGCAAACAGG